UUGCGAAAGUAUUCGGCCCCCUUGAACUUUGCGACCUUUUGCCACAUUUCAGGCUUCAAACAUAAAGAUAUAAAACUGUAUUUUUUUGAUUUAGACAUACCCCAAACGACUUACAGCUGUAAUCGCAGCAAAAGGUGGCGCUACAAAGUAUUAACUUAAGGGGGCUGAAUAAUUUUGCACGCCCAAUUUUUCAGUUUUUGAUUUGUUAAAAAAGUUUGAAAUAUCCAAUAAAUGUCGUUCCACUUCA